rnacentral:rRNA from 1 species
UGUCAUGGCCAUACAACUCUGAACAUGCCUGAUCUCAUAAGCUAAGUAGGGUCGGGCCUGGUUAGUACUUCGAUGGGAGAAAUCACAAAUCUCAGACUACUGUAAUAU